UGGGAUUACAGCUGUGAAUCACUGCACCCGGCCUCAAAGACUUCUUCUUUAUGCAACUGUUUGUCUCUUAUCUACCUAUGACCUGGAAACCCCCUUAGUUUGGAUUGUCCUGCCUUUCUGGACCGAACCAAUGUACAUCUUACACAUAUUUGUUGAUGUCUCACAUCUCCCUGAAAUGUAUAAAAGCAAGCUGUACCCCAACCACCUUGGGCACAUGUUGGUAGGACCUCCUGCUCUGGCUGCAGAGUAUGUGCUUCUCAAUCUUAAAUUAACAGCUAUUACAUCAACAACAAAAGCAAUUUUACUUUGUCUAAUGAUAAUAUAGUCAAAUUAAAAUGAAAUCAUAGAAAGUGAUCAGAAGAACCUUAAUUAUUUCGAAAAUAAGAGAAAAGCCUUUUUUCAGGAAUCCUUGAAACAAAGAGAAUACAUAAAGUAAACCAAUAAGAAUCCAGAUAUUAGAGUAAUGAAAAAAUGCUUUGCAUCAAAGUCAACGGUUUUCAGCUGUAGUUAAGAAGAAAUGUAAAACACUGAAUGUGCUUAUUACUAAAAGAAACAGCUAAUAUAUUUUUUAAACCCCAACAAAAUCAACUACAAAUAUUAGAAAAAAGAAUUAAUAAGAUGAAAGAGAAAAUAAAUUAUUUAGGAACACAAAAUAAUAUAAGAAAGAAAAUAGUAAAAAUAAGAACCAAUAACAUAGACGAAACUUU
rnacentral:lncRNA from 10 species